CCAGAGCUGAGCAGUGCACUUGUUAAAAAAUAAUAAAUAUGCUAGCAGAAUAUACACAAGAAGAAAAUAAUUGCAGUAAAUUAUAGAAGACUAGAGUGAACCUCCUCCUUAUGGCCGAGGGCCGUUUGCCUAAGAAUUGUUGGCAGAAUCG
rnacentral:snoRNA from 1 species